UACGUAGGGGGCAAGCGUUGUCCGGAUUCAUUGGGCGUAAAGAGCUCGUAGGCGGCUUGGCAAGUCGGGUGUGAAAACUCCAGGCUCAACCUGGAGACGCCACCCGAUACUGCCAUGGCUAGAGUCCGGUAGGGGACCACGGAAUUCCUGGUGUAGCGGUGAAAUGCGCAGAUAUCAGGAGGAACACCGGUGGCGAAGGCGGUGGUCUGGGCCGGAACUGACGCUGAGGAGCGAAAGCGUGGGGAGCGAACAGG
rnacentral:rRNA from 1 species